GACGAACGCUGGCGGCGUGCUUAACACAUGCAAGUCGAACGGAAAGGCCCUGCUUUUGUGGGGUGCUCGAGUGGCGAACGGGUGAGUAACACGUGAGUAACCUGCCCUUGACUUUGGGAUAACUUCAGGAAGCUCGGGCUAAUACCGGAUAGGAGCUCCUGCUGCAUGGUGGGGGUUGGAAAGUUUCGGCGGUUGGGGAUGGACUCGCGGCUUAUCAGCUUGUUGGUGGGGUAGUGGCUUACCAAGGCUUUGACGGGUAGCCGGCCUGAGAGGGUGACCGGCCACAUUGGGACUGAGAUACGGCCCAGACUCCUACGGGAGGCAGCAGUGGGGAAUAUUGCACAAUGGGCGGAAGCCUGAUGCAGCAACGCCGCGUGCGGGAUGACGGCCUUCGGGUUGUAAACCGCUUUCGCCUGUGACGAAGCGUGAGUGACGGUAAUGGGUAAAGAAGCACCGGCUAACUACGUG
rnacentral:rRNA from 1 species